CGGGCACUUCUAAUCUUUUAUAGAUUAAAACCAUCUGAAUCCUUCUCCGAUAAUCCUCUUCCCCCAUAUAUAACGCCGGGAUUCAAGCCAGAGAUCCCGGCCACUCGCCUACCAAUGGGCUCCUCCAGCGCCGCACAAAGUCCGCUCUCGCUGGAUCGCAUCGCCAAAUACCACGCCGACGGUUCUUCCAGGUGCUGCUCUCCGUGUCCAUGUAUCACGGCGGGCCCGUCCGGUCACGGCUUCCUGCCAGAUGCGUGCACGGCGGUCUGCACGCGUCUUCAAAUCGUGACAAGGUCAAAUUUCCACGCAUAAUGGUUACCGCCUCUCCCUCUUUUUCUUUCUUUUUUUUUUUUAAAUAAAGCAUAAAGGUUGCCUAAUUAUUAAUUUUUUAGGUAGUCAGGUUGCUUAAUUAUUUAAAUAAAAAAUCAUCCUAUCACGGUCUGCUAGCAUCAGUAGCAGUCGAGAAGUCGCGAUUAAAGAGGGCUAUCGGAGCUGGCUGAUGUGAGUUGCGAAGAUAACCGGGCUUAGAUAGCUUUCAUGGUCUUAUUUUAGUCAUUCUGCAUGGAGCUAGUGGUCUUAAUCUCCGCCAAUGAAUAUGAAUUAACACGUGUAAUUAAGAUAAUUUGACUGCUAUUUUAUCUUUAUGUCUUGAUUGGGAGGAAAGAACAGAAUAGAAAAAAAAAAAAAGAAUGGAAGGAGAAGUUUGUAAGUUAUUAUUAUUUUUUGGUUGAGAAUUUUUUUAUAAAAAAAUAAAAAAAAAGGAGAAAAAUGAAGGGAAUGUAAAUUCUUUCAAAUUCAUAAUUUUUUUUUUCAAAUCAAACAAAAUUAAAGAAAAAAAUUAAAAAUUAUGAAUCUUUUAUAAUUUUUAUUUUAUUUUUUAAUAAUAAAAAAUAAAAUUAAUAUUAUAUUUUAAUCUUAAGAUUUAUUUCAAACAUCCCACCUAAGUCUUCCAUCCGAUUCAAAUUUUUUAGAUGAAAAAAAUUAACAAAA
rnacentral:lncRNA from 1 species